rnacentral:rRNA from 1 species
UACGUAGGGGGCAAGCGUUGUCCGGAUUUAUUGGGCGUAAAGAGCGUGUAGGCGGCCAGGCAGGUCCGCUGUGAAAACUCGAGGCUCAACCUCGAGAGGUCGGUGGAAACCGUCUGGCUAGAGUCCGGAAGAGGAGAGUGGAAUUCCCGGUGUAGCGGUGAAAUGCGCAGAUAUCGGGAGGAACACCGGUGGCGAAGGCGGUUCUCUGGGCCUUACCUGACGCUGAGGAGCGAAAGCGUGGGGAGCGAACAGG